CCCUUAGAUGUUCUGGGCUGCACGCGCGCUACACUGAUGCGCUCAACGAGUUUUAACCUUGCCUGGAAAGGUUGGGUAAUCUUUUUAAAACGCAUCGUGAUGGGGAUAGAUUAUUGCAAUUAUUAAUCUUCAACGAGGAAUUCCUAGUAAGCGCGAGUCAUCAGCUCGUGCUGAUUACGUCCCUGCGCUUUGUACACACCGCCCGUCGCUCCUACCGAUUGAGUGGUCCGGUGAGGCUUUGGGAUCUGAGCGGAAAGAGCGUUUCGCUGUUUCUGCUCGGAAAACUCAGUCGAACCUUAUCAUUUAGAGGAAGGAGAAGUCGUAACA
rnacentral:rRNA from 1 species